rnacentral:sRNA from 1 species
AAAUAAAUCCCAACAUCUUCCACCUUACCGGCCUUGAAC